ensembl:lncRNA
GUCAGCAUUUGGAGAAAGGAAAAAGAGGCAUUUCCGCUUUGUGAAAGCUUUAUCUACAGUAGGCUCCCACUGGCUCUGCCUCGCGCCUGGCAGUGUAUAGAUGUCAGGGCUGCCCUCAGCUCGUCCCAGCUCUCCUCGCUUGCUGUGUCCACGUGCCGGUUCUGUGUCUUCAGCUGAACUUAAGGUAAAUUAUCCUGGAUAAUCCAAGUGGACCUGAUGGAAUCACAAGGAUCCUUAAAAGCGGAAGAGGGGUGGAAGAACAGGUCAGAGUAUUUGAUGUGAGAAGGCCCCCGCCUGCCAUUGCUGGCUUUGAAGAUGGAAGAAGGGUCGCAGACCAAGAAAUGGGGGCAGCCUCUGGAGACUGGAAAAGCCAAGGGGUGGAGUCCUCCUCCUAGAGUCUCCAGAAGGAACCCCUUGAUUUUAGGUCAUUUGUGAACUCACUUUGGAGCGCUGACCUUCAGAAACAGAAGAUAAUACGUUUGUGUUUCAAGCCACUGCAUGCAACUCAUCUCUGUUACACCUGCAAGGCACAACAAUUACAGGGACCUCUAGGGCCAAGGUGCAGACACAUACACUCACUCUCACAUAGAAACACACACUCUCACACACAUUCACACACACUCAUGUGGUCACAGUCACAUACAUAUUCCCACCAACCCACACUCUCUCUCAUACACACACUCAUGUACACUCUCUUGCACACUCACACACGCUGAUACACACAUUCCACACACUCCCAUGUACUAUUCAAUCACUCACACACUCAUGCACAUACACCCUAACUCCUCACAAACACACUCCCUCACAUAUGCUGCCUCACAAACACACACUCAUUUACACACAUACUCACACACUUGUCCUGAAGAAUGAAUUCUUUCAACUGCCCUGGACUCUCUGGAAUAACACCUGUGGACUCUUUAGUGUCCCCAGGAGAACAUUUUGAUCUCUUAACCAUCAUGCUCAUUUGCUUGUGCUCCAUCAGUUAACCAUGUCUGACUCUUUUCGACCCCAUGGACCAAAGCCCGCCAGGCUCCUCUGUCCAUGGGAUUUCCAAGCCCCACAGCUAGUAAAAUGUGCCACACCCUGUGAGAGUCCAGUAAAUGUGGGUUGAUUGACUGCUGGCCUCAAAGGAAGAAAGAAUGACUCAAUUCAAAUACUGCAAAUCCAAACCUUUUAGGAAAGGAAACUGCUCUGUGGGCGUACAUUUGGAUCCUCUUCACAUCACCAGUGACAUUUUGGGAAUCUAUGUCUAAAUGUGUAAAACAACUUUUAGCAUGCUAUAAAAUAAUUAUUAGCA